rnacentral:lncRNA from 1 species
GCUGGUGGAGAGAGACGGAUCAUGACUACUAUGGAAUCCUCGAAGAAGUGAUCAAGUUGACAUACCUUAGAGGUAAUAGUAUUUUUCUAUUUAAGUAUGAUAGUUUGAUAUCAAUAAUUAUAUGAAGAUUGAUCCACGGUGCUGGCUUAUUGAAAUCAAACAUGGAUCAAAAGCAUAUGUCAACGACCCCUUUGUGUUAGCUUAACAAGCUGUUUAAGUGUAUUAUACUUUUUUUCCAUCAAGAGAGAGAGAAGAAAAGAUUAGUGGAUUGUAUAUAAAGUUAAGUCUCGAAUCA